rnacentral:sRNA from 1 species
GAAAAGAAGAAGCACCCGCUUCUCACCUGAUUGACACAGAUUCCAAGUAGUUAACAGGUAUUACGUAAAACAUUUUAGGUCUUACUAUGUUAUCGUAAGUGUGGGUGAAUUGUUCAUCCACACUUUUUUAUUU